UACGGAGGGGGCUAGCGUUGUUCGGAAUUACUGGGCGUAAAGCGCACGUAGGCGGCUUUGUAAGUUAGAGGUGAAAGCCCAGGGCUCAACCCUGGAAUUGCCUUUAAGACUGCAUCGCUUGAACAUCGGAGAGGUAAGUGGAAUUCCGAGUGUAGAGGUGAAAUUCGUAGAUAUUCGGAAGAACACCAGUGGCGAAGGCGACUUACUGGACGAUUGUUGACGCUGAGGUGCGAAAGAGUGGGGAGCAAACAGG
rnacentral:rRNA from 1 species